rnacentral:rRNA from 1 species
AGUGAACGCUGGCGGUAGGCCUAACACAUGCAAGUCGAACGGCAGCACAGUAAGAGCUUGCUCUUACGGGUGGCGAGUGGCGGACGGGUGAGGAAUACAUCGGAAUCUACUUUUUCGUGGGGGAUAACGUAGGGAAACUUACGCUAAUACCGCAUACGACCUACGGGUGAAAGCAGGGGAUCUUCGGACCUUGCGCGAUUGAAUGAGCCGAUGUCGGAUUAGCUAGUUGGCGGGGUAAAGGCCCACCAAGGCGACGAUCCGUAGCUGGUCUGAGAGGAUGAUCAGCCACGCUGGAACUGAGACACGGUCCAGACUCCUACGGGAGGCAGCAGUGGGGAAUAUUGGACAAUGGACGCAAGCCUGAUCCAGCCAUACCGCGUGGGUGAAGAAGGCCUUCGGGUUGUAAAGCCCUUUUGUUGGGAAAGAAAAGCAGCAGGUUAAUACCCCGCUGUUCUGACGGUACCCAAAGAAUAGGCACCGGCUAACUUCGUG